GCUCCAGCCUCUGGACACUGUUAGCUGGAGAUCAUCCUCAAUUCCUAGAAUCUGUUCUCCAGUCCCAGAUGACUACCAUAGUUCUUUGCCACAUGGGGUCCCCCAUGGCCACUAUCACUGAGUCCACAAGGAAAAUCCCCAGAGCAGAUCUUCCAGUGAGCCAGCAUACUAUUGUGGCAGUCAUAAACCAUUAACACCAAAACCUGAUAUCUACAAAGCUGUGUUGCAUUGGCCAAUGCAGCACUCAGUGCAUCCAUUCUCACUGUGGAAACUAGGAGGUAUUUGGGGUGAAUGCCAGUGAGAUUCAUUAUCCCAAGAGAGGAAGAGUUUUGAGCCAGCACAUCUCCUGGAAUCCAUCAUUUCCUAUCCCUAAAAUGGGUAAAAUAACAGCUCUGGAGUGCGGCAAAAACACAACAUAAUUUGUGGGAUCCAGAAACUAUUUCCACCUUCUGGCAAUGCCUCUGUUAACGCUGCUGCUGUGAGCCAUCCUCAGCCCAGAGUGAAGAAAAAGAGCAAGCAAAGAUCACAUUCAGAAAAAGAGACUCG